rnacentral:lncRNA from 1 species
UAUAAAUAAUUAUUUAUGGUAUAAAUUGGCAUAUACGAAAAUUGAAUUUAAAACUUGUUGGGAAUCCGGUAUUCGCCCCGGUAUCAGAUUUUGAGAAUCUGUAAUCCGCUCUGAUAAUCGACUGUUGUGGAUUUGGUAACGAUUGUUGGAAUUUCGUAAUGGAACCAUCAAAUCGGAUUUUUACAAUAAGUCCGUCUCCUCAGCAACAGCUAAUACAAAAAUUAAUAUUCAUUAAAUAAAAGAAGAUUUUAUCUCACUCCUCUACUACAUAUAGUAGCUACAAUCCGAACUCUCUUUCUAAAUCUUUCGCACCAUUUUCUCGUCUUCUAUGAACUAAAAAGACCUCUUUCUAAUCAUGUGUAUCCAUGUAUAAGGUAUGCCAACGACCCACGACUAAAAAAAUCGCACACGUCCUUUUACACCCAUGCACUAGUUGCAUCCAAAAUCAUGACCGUCUUGGCCAUGCCAUAUGGGUGUGGUUAAUCCGUACUACCGCUACAAAAAAAUAGCACAUAUACUAUAUUUAUAGCUUACAUCAAAAGUUAUUCAUAUUCUAGUCCAAUUAAAUUUCUACUCUAAUUAAUAUUUAAAUCUUAAUCUAUCUCCAAUUGUGAGGAAGUGAAUUCUCGAAAUACGAGAGUUAGACUUCAUGCGAAAUCGACCAAGGGUUGUGUUGAUGAGCUUUGGAAAAGCCAAAGAUGUUAAAAU